AUGGAGGGGGACUACUGGUCCUGUUGUGGACCGUGGCCGGCCAGCCACCCAGCAGCCAGGUGGUCAACUGCACAGUUGCAGGACCCUGGUGCUCAGGAGUUCCAGUGGAAGAAGUCCAACCAGAUCAGUGCAGUCAAACUGGACAGGUGUACGGUGCAGUCACACACAGAAGGCUUCUUGCACAUACUGAGUCUGACUAACGCAGGGGUGAAAAUUCACCUCAAAUUGAAAUUGGAAGGAGAAACAUACCAGAGAAUCUUUAGUGGGAAGGCAGAGAGACUCGCCCUGAAGGACCAGACUGUGACCAUGGACGUUCCUCCUUCUAUCAUGCGGCCUCCCAUGUCAUUGGGAGCAGGCCCGUGGUGCCAGCGAGGCCAUCCUGUGUUAGGAGGUGGGUUGCCUCUACUUAUCCUGCCUGAGGCCAUGGAGAGAGGCCUGUAUGGGGAGCUGAACCUCCUACCAGUCACAGUUCUCACCCCCUGUGUAUUGCAGUACUCCAACCUGGCAACCAGAGUCACACGCAUACAGAUAUCCUUUAUCAAUCACAUCACACACAUCAUAUACCCUUGCUUUGGGGGCUAGUCGUUUAGAUAAAACCAUUUGAAAGAUGUCUGAGUAGUGACAGUAGACCCUUAUUCCUACUGAACCAUCAGUCUUUAACCCCAGUGGUACGUGCUGCUUUACAGCCCAGUAACCUUCCCCUGCUGGGGCCCUCAGCCUUCCUACAGCGUAAAACGUAUCCUGAUACACAGGUUAAACACCCAAUCCUUGCAGUGAGGGUCAUCAAAAAGAAAGGAGGACCAAGGCACUCUUCAUAUAAUUGAUUAAAAUGCCUUUAUUAGUAUGGCAUGUUCAAUAGAAACAAUGUUUUUAAAAAUCCGACGCGUUUCGACUGCAUGGCCUUCGUCAGAGAGUACAAAGAAAUAAUACAAUGUUCUCUUUUUAACAGCUUUUCCAAUUAACCCUAAUUUGAAUAGGUAGUGGUUAAAAUUGAUUGGACACACCUAGUAAGCAAUACUAUACACACUUUAAAGUGAAAUACUGUAGCUAUGUUAUCAUAAAAAUGUAACUCCAAGCUAGAAGUAUCAGAACACUUAGAAAGGCAGUUCUAACCUUAAAUAUGGCUGGGAGAAGUGUCAAGAAUAAGAAAGCAAUAUAUUCCAUAGUACACUAGAACACAGCAAAACAUGAACAACAAGAGUCUAAACAUAGCUGAGGGCAAUUGAGCAAAAUGUCCACUAGAUGACAGCAAAUGGACCCAUCACAACCCUACAGGAAGGGUGAGAAAUCCAUAUCUUCAUUUAAACCUGUAGUUUGUAAAUCCAAAAACGUUCCCUUUGGUUUAACUGUUUAAGACAGUCCCCUUUUCUAAUAGAGGCAGGCAGGGGGGAGCCUCUGCAACGCUCCCCCCUUCCCUCAACAAAAUAUUGCAUCGAUUUCCCUUAUCGGAGAGGCACUGGCAAUUGUAUGCAUCUAAACUAGCUAGGUACGUUAGCAAGCUAACUAAAUAGAUAGUGACACAGAGGAAUUCUACGAUGCUGCUGAAGACGUCAAUUUUACUGGCUGCGUUGGACCGGAGGGCGACUCUGGCUGCGUCGGACCGGAGGGCGACUCUGGCUGCGUCGGACCGGAGGGCUCUCUUGGGCAUAGGUGCCGGACACUCGGGCUGAGGCACUGUCGUCGGGCACUCUGGGUUAGGUGCUGUCGCUAUGCCAUCUGGGCGAGGCGCAUGCACUGAAGGCCUGGUACGUGGGGCUGGCGUAGGGGACGCCGGACUAGGCCCACGUACCUCAGGGCUAGUGCUAGGGGCAAGAGUAGGACGAGUUGGGCUGGGCUGCCGCACUGGGAGCCUGGUGCUGGCUUCGGGGGAGUCAGACUAGGGACACACACACACACACCUGUAGGCUUGUGCGGAGAGCAGGGAUAGGUCGAGCUGGACUAGGCUGCCGCUCGGGAAGCCUGGUGCGCGGUGCUGGCUUCGGAGGAGCCACACUAGAGACACGCACCUGUGGGCUUCUACAAGGAGCAGGAGUAGGAUACACCGGGCCUUGGGUAAGUACUGGAAGUCUCGAGCUCAUCUCCUGCACAACCUGUCCUGGCUGGAUGGCAGUAGUAGCCCUGUACGUUCGAGGUGCUGGUACAGGGCGGACUGGGCUAUGCAGGGGCCUGAUGGUCGCCUUGCGUAGAGGAGGUGUCCUGUAGCCUUGACUUCGGAGGCGUACCGGUGGCUAGACGUAUUGGGCUGGCGUCCUCCUUCCAGGCUGGAUGCCCACUCUAGCACGGCCUUUGCUUGGGGCUGAGAUCACACGCACCGGAUUGUGCGUGCGCAUGGGCGAGAUCUUGCAUACCUCUUCGUACUUCGGCGCUCUCCACUCCAUGUGCUCCCCAUAAUAAGCACGAGGUGUUGGCUUCAGGGGCAUCCUUUGCCCAGCCACCCACCCCGUGUGCCCCCCCAAAAAAAUUAUUGGGGCUGCCUCUCAGGCUUCCUUGCUAGCCUCGUCCCAACGUACUUCUCCCGGUCCUCACCGUUCCUUCGCCACGGACCUUCUCCCGCCAGGAUUUCCUCCCAUGACCACGAUUCCCUGUAGUCCUCCUGCUUCCUUGGCUGCUCCCUCUUCUGUUGCUUGGUCCGGUUGUGGUGGGUAGUUCUGUAACGAUUGUCGUGUGUGGAGGACCAAGACGCAACAGGGAAGUGUAUACCCAUCUUCACUUUUUAAUAUAUAAACAAAAGAAACACGUAUACAAUUAACAGAAACGACACUAACCGUUCUGUUAGUUGACAAGCACAAAACAGAAUACACCUACCCACAAUCCACAAUACAAACACACCCCUAAUUAUAGGACCUUCAAUCAGAGGCAACAAUAGACAGCUGCCUCCAACUGAAGGCCCCAACACCAAUUAACUAAACAUAGAAAUACAAAUGACUAGACAGAACAUAGAAAUAAACUAACAUAGAACAAUAACCAAAACCCUGGACUAAUAAAUCAAAUACCCCUCUCUACAUGGACACAUACACACAACCACCCUGAACCACAUAAAACAAAUACCCCCUGCCACGUCCUGACCAAACUAAACACUAACAAAUAACACCUUUACAGGUCAGAACGUGACAUGUUGAGAAUAGCCUCCCAUUUAUCUCUAAAUUCAGUUUUACCUUGUGCUCCAGUAGCUGGAAACUUCAUAAUACGGAGUCGUCUGGGGAUUAGGCCUUUCCUCCAAUAGUAAGACAAGGUGAUAGAAUUGAGGUCAAGUUUUGUAUCUUUCUCCAUAAGGUGUUGCAAGUCUCUGUAAGCCUUGUUUAAGUCCAUUCCAGUAUUCUCUGUGGCUGUCAUCUCAUCUAGCAAUGAGGUAGUGGUAAUAAUCCUUUGGCCCUCUUCAUGGGAAUAGGAAAAUCUUGUAGCCUCUUGGGUAAAAUCCAUAGUUUGAGUUGAAAAAUGUCCCCAAAAACACAGAAAGAAUUACUGUGGAGCUGCUUCCUCUAAGCACCACCCAAGUGCUAUGCUUAACCUCUAUGGGCUAUGUGGGACGCAAGCGUCCAACCCCUGGUACACCCAAUCAACAACAGGUGAAAUAUCAAGAGCGCCAAAUUUGAAAACAAUUAAAUGUCAAUUCAAAUUUCUCAAACAUACAACUAUCUUACACCCUU
rnacentral:lncRNA from 8 species